GACGAACGCUGGCGGCGUGCUUAACACAUGCAAGUCGAACGGAAAGGCCCUGCUUUUGUGGGGUGCUCGAGUGGCGAACGGGUGAGUAACACGUGAGUAACCUGCCCUUGACUUUGGGAUAACUUCAGGAAACUGGGGCUAAUACCGGAUAGGAGCUCCUGCUGCAUGGUGGGGGUUGGAAAGUUUCGGCGGUUGGGGAUGGACUCGCGGCUUAUCAGCUUGUUGGUGGGGUAGUGGCUUACCAAGGCUUUGACGGGUAGCCGGCCUGAGAGGGUGAACGGCCACAUGGGGACUGAGAUACGGCCCAGACUCCUACGGGAGGCAGCAGUGGGGAAUAUUGCACAAUGGGCGGAAGCCUGAUGCAGAAACGCCGCGUGCGGGAUGACGGCCUUCGGGUUGUAAACCGCUUUCGCCUGUGACGAAGCGUGAGUGACGGUAAUGGGUAAAGAAGCACCGGCUAACUACGUG
rnacentral:rRNA from 1 species